rnacentral:rRNA from 1 species
AUUGAACGCUGGCGGCAUGCCUUACACAUGCAAGUCGAACGGCAGCACGGGGGCAACCCUGGUGGCGAGUGGCGAACGGGUGAGUAAUACAUCGGAACGUACCCGGACGUGGGGGAUAACGUAGCGAAAGUUACGCUAAUACCGCAUAUUCUGUGAGCAGGAAAGAGGGGGAUCGAAAGACCUCUCGCUUUCGGAGCGGCCGAUGUCGGAUUAGCUAGUUGGUGGGGUAAAAGCCUACCAAGGCGAAGAUCCGUAGCUGGUCUUAGAGGAUGAUCAGCCACACUGGGACUGAGACACGGCCCAGACUCCUACGGGAGGCAGCAGUGGGGAAUUUUGGACAAUGGGGGCAACCCUGAACCAGCCAAGUCGCGUGAAGGAAGAAGGUUCUAUGGAUUGUAAACUUCUUUUGUAAGGGAAUAAAAAAGCUUACGUGUAGGCUAUUGUAUGUACUUUACGAAUAAGGAUCGGCUAACUCCGUGCCAGCAGCCGCAGUAACAC